rnacentral:lncRNA from 1 species
CGUGUUUGUAAAAAAUGACACUUUUUAAAAUUCAGCUCUAGCCCAUAUUCUUCGCACGUCUUGAGAACUUCUUUCAGGUUUGCUAGGGCUUCUAGCUCGUCUUUGGCUGGGAUAAUUACGUCGUCAACAUAUGGUAGUGCUAUACCUUUUCUAGUCAGUGAUCGAAAUAUUGCGCCAAUAUGCCUUUGGAAUACUCCUGGGGAACUCGACAAACCAAAUGGGACCUUGCGAAACUGGUAUUGUCCGCUUUGCGUCACAAAUGAGGUGUACUUCCUACUCUCUUCGGCUACAGGAACAUGGAAAAACCCAUUUUUCAAGUCAAUCGUACUGAAUACUACAGCGUCCUGCAAACGAUCUAGCUGGUCAUCUAUCAACGGCAAUGGGAAAUGAUCUUUUUCGAUGACUUUAUUGAUGC